rnacentral:rRNA from 1 species
GGGGGGGGGGGGGGGGGGGGGGGGGGGGGGGGGGGGGGGGGGCGGGACGGUGAGAGCUGGCUCUUACGGGUGGCGAGUGGCGGACGGGUGAGGAGUACAUCGGAAUCUACUUUUUCGUGGGGGAUAACGUAGGGAAACUUACGCUAAUACCGCAUACGACCUACGGGUGAAAGCAGGGGAUCUUCGGACCUUGCGUGAUUGAAUGAGCCGAUGUCGGAUUAGCUAGUUGGCGGGGUAAAGGCCCACCAAGGCGACGAUCCGUAGCUGGUCUGAGAGGAUGAUCAGCCACACUGGAACUGAGACACGGUCCAGACUCCUACGGGAGGCAGCAGUGGGGAAUAUUGGACAAUGGGCGCAAGCCUGAUCCAGCCAUACCGCGUGGGUGAAGAAGGCCUUCGGGUUGUAAAGCCCUUUUGUUGGGAAAGAAAAGCAGCAGGUUAAUACCCCGCUGUUCUGACGGUACCCAAAGAAUAAGCACCGGCUAACUUCGUG